rnacentral:rRNA from 1 species
CCUACGGGAGGCAGCAGUGAGGAAUAUUGGUCAAUGGACGAGAGUCUGAACCAGCCAAGUAGCGUGAAGGAUGACUGCCCUAUGGGUUGUAAACUUCUUUUAUAAAGGAAUAAAACGAGGCACGUGUGCCUUUUUGCAUGUACUUUAUGAAUAAGGAUCGGCUAACUCCGUGCCAGCAGCCGCGGUAAUACGGAGGAUCCGAGCGUUAUCCGGAUUUAUUGGGUUUAAAGGGAGCGUAGAUGGGUUGUUAAGUCAGUUGUGAAAGUUUGCGGCUCAACCGUAAAAUUGCAAUUGAUACUGGCAGUCUAGAGUACAGUUGAGGUAAGCGGAAUUCGUGGUGUAGCGGUGAAAUGCUUAGAUAUCACGAAGAACCCCGAUUGCGAAGGCAGCUUACUAAACUGUGACUGACAUUGAUGCUCGAAAGUGUGGGUAUCAAACAGGAUUAGAUACCCGUGUAGUC